rnacentral:rRNA from 2 species
ACUCUGGUAUUGAUUGGUGCUUGCAUCAUGAUUUACAUUUGAGUGAGUGGCGAACUGGUGAGUAACACGUGGGAAACCUGCCCAGAAGCGGGGGAUAACACCUGGAAACAGAUGCUAAUACCGCAUAACAACUUGGACCGCAUGGUCCGAGUUUGAAAGAUGGCUUCGGCUAUCACUUUUGGAUGGUCCCGCGGCGUAUUAGCUAGAUGGUGGGGUAACGGCUCACCAUGGCAAUGAUACGUAGCCGACCUGAGAGGGUAAUCGGCCACAUUGGGACUGAGACACGGCCCAAACUCCUACGGGAGGCAGCAGUAGGGAAUCUUCCACAAUGGACGAAAGUCUGAUGGAGCAACGCCGCGUGAGUGAAGAAGGGUUUCGGCUCGUAAAACUCUGUUGUUAAAGAAGAACAUAUCUGAGAGUAACUGUUCAGGUAUUGACGGUAUUUAACCAGAAAGCCACGGCUAACUACGUGCCAGCAGCCGCGGUAAUACGUAGGUGGCAAGCGUUGUCCGGAUUUAUUGGGCGUAAAGCGAGCGCAGGCGGUUUUUUAAGUCUGAUGUGAAAGCCUUCGGCUCAACCGAAGAAGUGCAUCGGAAACUGGGAAACUUGAGUGCAGAAGAGGACAGUGGAACUCCAUGUGUAGCGGUGAAAUGCGUAGAUAUAUGGAAGAACACCAGUGGCGAAGGCGGCUGUCUGGUCUGUAACUGACGCUGAGGCUCGAAAGUAUGGGUAGCAAACAGGAUUAGAUACCCUGGUAGUCCAUACCGUAAACGAUGAAUGCUAAGUGUUGGAGGGUUUCCGCCCUUCAGUGCUGCAGCUAACGCAUUAAGCAUUCCGCCUGGGGAGUACGGCCGCAAGGCUGAAACUCAAAGGAAUUGACGGGGGCCCGCACAAGCGGUGGAGCAUGUGGUUUAAUUCGAAGCUACGCGAAGAACCUUACCAGGUCUUGACAUACUAUGCAAAUCUAAGAGAUUAGACGUUCCCUUCGGGGACAUGGAUACAGGUGGUGCAUGGUUGUCGUCAGCUCGUGUCGUGAGAUGUUGGGUUAAGUCCCGCAACGAGCGCAACCCUUAUUAUCAGUUGCCAGCAUUAAGUUGGGCACUCUGGUGAGACUGCCGGUGACAAACCGGAGGAAGGUGGGGAUGACGUCAAAUCAUCAUGCCCCUUAUGACCUGGGCUACACACGUGCUACAAUGGAUGGUACAACGAGUUGCGAACUCGCGAGAGUAAGCUAAUCUCUUAAAGCCAUUCUCAGUUCGGAUUGUAGGCUGCAACUCGCCUACAUGAAGUCGGAAUCGCUAGUAAUCGCGGAUCAGCAUGCCGCGGUGAAUACGUUCCCGGGCCUUGUACACACCGCCCGUCACACCAUGAGAGUUUGUAACACCCAAAGUCGGUG